rnacentral:rRNA from 1 species
GAUGAACGCUGGCGGCGUGCCUAAUACAUGCAAGUCGAGCGAACGGACGAGAAGCUUGCUUCUCUGAUGUUAGCGGCGGACGGGUGAGUAACACGUGGAUAACCUACCUAUAAGACUGGGAUAACUUCGGGAAAUCGGAGCUACUACCGGAUAAUAUUUUGAACCGCAUGGUUCAAAAGUGAAAGACGGUCUUGCUGUCACUUAUAGAUGGAUCCCCGCUGCAUUAGCUAGUUGGUAAGGUAACGGCUUACCAAGGCAACGAUGCAUAGCCGACCUGAGAGGGUGAGCGGCCACACUGGAACUGAGACACGGUCCAGACUCCUACGGGAGGCAGCAGUAUGGAAUCUUCCGCAAUGGGCGAAAGCCUGACGGAGCAACGCCGCGUGAGUGAUGAGGGUCUUCGGAUCGUAAAGCUCUGUUAUUAGGGAAGAACAUAUGUGUAAGUAACUGUGCACAUCUUGACGGUACCUAAUCAGAAAGCCACGGCUAACUACGUG